AGUGAACGCUGGCGGUAGGCCUAACACAUGCAAGUCGAACGGCGGCACAGUAAGAGCUUGCUCUUACGGGUGGCGAGUGGCGGACGGGUGAGGAAUACAGCGGAAUCUACUUUUUCGUGGGGGAUAACGUAGGGAAACUUACGCUAAUACCGCAUACGACCUACGGGUGAAAGCAGGGGAUCUUCGGACCUUGCGCGAUUGAAUGAGCCGAUGUCGGAUUAGCUAGUUGGCGGGGUAAAGGCCCACCAAGGCGACGAUCCGUAGCUGGUCUGAGAGGAUGAUCAGCCACACUGGAACUGAGACACGGUCCAGACUCCUACGGGAGGCAGCAGUGGGGAAUAUUGGACAAUGGGCGCAAGCCUGAUCCAGCCAUACCGCGUGGGUGAAGAAGGCCUUCGGGUUGUAAAGCCCUUUUGUUGGGAAAGAAAAGCAGCAGGUUAAUACCCCGCUGUUCUGACGGUACCCAAAGAAUAAGCACCGGCUAACUUCGUG
rnacentral:rRNA from 1 species